rnacentral:misc_RNA from 1 species
GAAAUGCGAUAAGUAGUGUGAGUUGCAGAAUUCAGUGAAUCAUCGAAUCUUUGAACGCACAUUGCGCCCCUUGGUAUUCCAUGGGGCAUGCCUGUUCGAGCGUCAUUUGUACCCUCAAGCUCUGCUUGGUGUUGGGUGUUUGUCCCCGUCUCCGCGCGUGGACUCGCCCCAAAGUGAUUGGCAGCCGGCGUACUGGUCCCGGAGCGCAGCACAUGUCGCGCAAACGAGUGCCUUGGUACGGCGGCGUCCAUAAGCCCCUCUCUCACGCUCUUGACCUCGGAUCAGGUAGGGAUACCCGCUGAACUUAAGC